GAUGAAGAACGCAGCGAAAUGCGAUAAGUAGUGUGAAUUGCAGAAUUCAGUGAAUCAUCGAAUCUUUGAACGCACAUUGCGCCUCUUGGUACUCCAUGGGGCAUGCCUGUUCGAGCGUCAUUUACACCCUCAAGCUCAGCUUGGUGUUGGGCGUCUGUCCCGCUUCGUGCGCGGACUCGCCUCAAAUGCAUUGGCAGCGGUCUUGCCAGCUUCUCGCGCAGCACAUUGCGCUUCUAGAGGCUUUGGCGGAUCGGCGUCCAUCAAGUACACCCACAGUUUGACCUCGGAUCAGGUAGGGAUACCCGCUGAACUUAAGCAUAUCAAUAAGCGGAGGA
rnacentral:misc_RNA from 1 species